GAUGAACGCUGGCGGCGUGCCUAAUACAUGCAAGUCGAACGAAAACACAGUGAGAUUUUUCCUUUGCCGUUAGCGACGGGCGGGCGGGUAAGAAGUAGAUCAGCAUCUACUUUUUCUUGGGUAAUUACGGAAGACCAGUGACGCUACUACCUCAUAUGACCUACCGCAUAAUUCAAUAGAUCUUGACGCCUUUGCCGUUUCAUUUAGCCGAUUUCGUAUUGGCUAGUUGGCUUGGUAAAGGCCCACCAAGGCAACGAUCCGUAGCUGACCUGAGAGGAUGAUCAGCCACACUGGAACUGAGACACGGUCCAGACUCCUACGGGAGGCAGCAGUGGGGAAUCUUGCACAAUGGGCGAAAGCCUGACGGAGCAAUGCCGCGUGAGUGAUGAAGGUCUUCGGGUCGUAAAGCUCUGUUAUUAGGGAAGAACAAAUGUGUAAGUAACUAUGCACGUCUUGACGGUACCUAAUCAGAAAGCCACGGCUAACUACGUG
rnacentral:rRNA from 1 species